rnacentral:rRNA from 1 species
CAGCCGCCACGGUAAUACGUAGGGUGCGAGCGUUAAUCGGAAUUACUGGGCGUAAAGCGUGCGCAGGCGGUUUUGUAAGACAGGCGUGAAAUCCCCGGGCUCAACCUGGGAAUGGCGCUUGUGACUGCAAAGCUAGAGUGCGGCAGAGGGGGAUGGAAUUCCGCGUGUAGCAGUGAAAUGCGUAGAUAUGCGGAGGAACACCGAUGGCGAAGGCAAUCCCCUGGGCCUGCACUGACGCUCAUGCACGAAAGCGUGGGGAGCAAACAGGAUUAGAUACCCCUGUAGUCCCUGUCUCUUAUAU